UACAGAGGUCCCAAGCGUUGUUCGGAUUCACUGGGCGUAAAGGGUGCGUAGGUGGCCAUGUAAGUCGGAUGUGAAAGCUCGGAGCUCAACUCCGAAAUGGCAUUGGAAACUGCCUGGCUCGAGGGUUGGAGGGGGGACUGGAAUACUUGGUGUAGCAGUGAAAUGCGUAGAUAUCAAGUGGAACACCAGUGGCGAAGGCGAGUCCCUAGACAACUCCUGACACUGAGGCACGAAAGCUAGGGGAGCAAACAGG
rnacentral:rRNA from 1 species